AAAUUGAAGAGUUUGAUCAUGGCUCAGAUUGAACGCUGGCGGCAGGCCUAACACAUGCAAGUCGAACGGUAACAGGAAUCAGCUUGCUGAUUCGCUGACGAGUGGCGGACGGGUGAGUAAUGUCUGGGAAACUGCCUGAUGGAGGGGGAUAACUACUGGAAACGGUAGCUAAUACCGCAUAACGUCGCAAGACCAAAGAGGGGACCUUCGGGCCUCUUGCCAUCGGAUGUGCCCAGAUGGGAUUAGCUAGUAGGUGGGGUAACGGCUCACCUAGGCGACGAUCCCUAGCUGGUCUGAGAGGAUGACCAGCCACACUGGAACUGAGACACGGUCCAGACUCCUACGGGAGGCAGCAGUGGGGAAUAUUGCACAAUGGGCGCAAGCCUGAUGCAGCCAUGCCGCGUGUAUGAAGAAGGCCUUCGGGUUGUAAAGUACUUUCAGCGGGGAGGAAGGGAGUAAAGUUAAUACCUUU
rnacentral:rRNA from 1 species